rnacentral:rRNA from 1 species
UACAGAGGGUGCGAGCGUUGUCCGGAAUUAUUGGGCGUAAAGAGCGUGUAGGCGGUCCGGUAAGUCAGCUGUGAAAGUCAAGGGCUCAAACCCUUGAAAGCCGGUUGAUACUGUCGGGCUAGAGUCCGGAAGAGGCGAGUGGAAAUUCCUGGUGUAGCGGUGAAAUGCGCAGAUAUCAGGAGGAACACCAAUGGCGAAGGCAGCUCGCUGGGACGGUACUGACGCUGAGACGCGAAAGCGUGGGGAGCAAACAGG